CCUACGGGGUGCUGCAGUGGGGAAUAUUGGACAAUGGGCGAAAGCCUGAUCCAGCCAUGCCGCGUGUGUGAAGAAGGCCUUCGGGUUGUAAAGCACUUUCAGUGGGGAAGAAAGCCUUGGGGCUAAUACCCUCGAGGAAGGACAUCACCCACAGAAGAAGCACCGGCUAACUCCGUGCCAGCAGCCGCGGUAAUACGGAGGGUGCGAGCGUUAAUCGGAAUUACUGGGCGUAAAGCGCGCGUAGGCGGUCUGAUAAGCCGGUUGUGAAAGCCCCGGGCUCAACCUGGGAACGGCAUCCGGAACUGUCAGGCUAGAGUGCAGGAGAGGAAGGUAGAAUUCCCGGUGUAGCGGUGAAAUGCGUAGAGAUCGGGAGGAAUACCAGUGGCGAAGGCGGUCUUCUGGACUGACACUGACGCUGAGGUGCGAAAGCGUGGGUAGCAAACAGGAUUAGAUACCCUUGUAGUC
rnacentral:rRNA from 1 species